GACGAACGCUGGCGGCGUGCUUAACACAUGCAAGUCGAACGGAAAGGCCCUGCUUUUGUGGGGUGCUCGAGUGGCGAACGGGUGAGUAACACGUGAGUAACCUGCCCUUGACUUUGGGAUAACUUCAGGAAACUGGGGCUAAUACCGGAUAGGAGCUCCUGCUGCAUGGUGGGGGUUGGAAAGUUUCGGCGGUUGGGGAUGGACUCGCGGCUUAUCAGCUUGUUGGUGGGGUAGUGGCUUACCAAGGCUUUGACGGGUAGCCGGCCUGAGAGGGUGACCGGCCACAUUGGGACUGGGAUACGGCCCAGACUCCUACGGGAGGCAGCAGUGGGGAAUAUUGCACAAUGGGCGGAAGCCUGAUGCAGCAACGCCGCGUGCGGGAUGACGGCCUUCGGGCUGUAAACCGCUUUCGCCUGUGACGAAGCGUGAGUGACGGUAAUGGGUAAAGAAGCACCGGCUAACUACGUG
rnacentral:rRNA from 1 species